GCCCAUUGAUCCACUUGUUAGUCUCCAACAUGGAUGACCGUAUUUUCCACGACCUCACUAGUAAAUUUUCAAAGGACAGUAAGCUGGAGGCUGCCGUCUGAAGAGGGAGACGAUGAGGGCGCCGUGCUGCCCAGCUAGCGGUACAGCCACCAUCCAACCAGAGUGACAGCCAGAGCGCAGCUGGAAGGAGCCCUCACAGACCCUCGUCCUCAUGCUUGGGACAGCAGCGUCUCUGCUCACCGCC